AAAUCCUAUCUCAGCUCACCGUCCGUUCCCCUCCUCGCCCCCCCAACACCUCUUGACGCUCCGCUCUCCACCCGCCUCAGCUUCUCUCAUAAUAUGGCCUCGUCAUCGCAAGAUGGAAAGAGGGCGGCGGCGGCUGCGGAGGCGGCCGCGGCUGCGGAGGCGGCGGCGGCGGCGGCGGCGAAGGAGCCAGCGGUAGAGGCAGAAAAGCAGGACGACUACGAACUCUGGUCGCUGUAUGUACUCACAGGUGCCAUUGCAGCAUUGGCGGUAGACCACAAUUUUUGUGCUAUCAAAAACUUUCUUAAAAAGUGAUAAAAUUUGGAGUCUAAGUUAGUAGGUCUCUUUGGUUAGUUUCGGUUAGUUUAUGCAUGUGUAGUACAAUCUAAUUGUGUUAAGACUAUAAUAUCGUUGUGUGUUUUUUUUUUUAAAAAAAAUAUUUUAAGUAUUUAGGCUUUAUUUUAUAAUUGUUAAAAUAUGUUUAAUUACCCUGAUGUGAUGCAAUGCUAUGUCGACCUUGGGUUUUUUUUUUUUAAGAUUUUUUAUCUAAAAAAAGAGUUAAUAAUUUUUUCCCUCCCCUCUCCCAUCUCCUGAAGCCUCUCUCUCAUUCUCUGGCUCCCCACCCGCACCCCUCUCUCUCUCUCUCUCUCUCUCUCUCUCUCUGUGUCUCUCUUUCUCAGCCCCCUCCCACUCCUCUCUCCCCACCCGCAGACACGCACGCACACCGCCGAUCCCACCACCGCCCAAACGAAGAAAAAAAAAAAAAAA